rnacentral:rRNA from 1 species
UACGUAGGGGGCAAGCGUUGUCCGGAUUUACUGGGCGUAAAGCGCGCGUAGGCGGAUUGCUAAGUCAGGGGUGAAAUCCUGGAGCUCAACUCCAGAACUGCCUUUGAUACUGGCAACCUUGAGUCCGGGAGAGGUGAGUGGAACUGCGAGUGUAGAGGUGAAAUUCGUAGAUAUUCGCAAGAACACCAGUGGCGAAGGCGGCUCACUGGCCCGGUACUGACGCUGAGGUGCGAAAGCGUGGGGAGCAAACAGG